CGAGCAUUUUGUGUCCUUCCUGCGCUGCCUGCGGCCGCCCCUGAGCACAUGGGCGAACCGGCUUCAGGGCAGCCGCAAGACUUCACCGAGAAUGUUGCCAGGUAAGCUGAGGUGGAGAAGGACCCUGCCAGGGUCACUGCAAGAAGAGCUUUGGGACAAAGCCAGUCUAGGAUACAUUGGAUUGCAGCCUGGAGUUCUAGUCAGAGGGAUGACAGAUCUUCAUAUUAAACACAGGCAGAGA